AACGAACGCUGGCGGUAUGCUUAACACAUGCAAGUCGAACGAGAAAGCUUCUUCGGAAGUGAGUAGAGUGGCGCACGGGUGAGUAACACGUAGAUAACCUACCCUUCAGCCUGGGACAACCCUUCGAAAGGAGGGCUAAUACUGGAUAAUACUGGGUGUCGAGUGGCAUCAAGUUGAAAGAUUUAUCACUGAAGGAUGGGUCUGCGUACCAUUAGUUAGUUGGUGGGGUAACGGCCUACCAAGGCGUCGAUGGUUAGCGGGUCUGAGAGGAUGAUCCGCCACACUGGAACUGAGACACGGUCCAG
rnacentral:rRNA from 1 species